rnacentral:rRNA from 1 species
UACAGAGGUCUCAAGCGUUGUUCGGAUUCAUUGGGCGUAAAGGGUGCGUAGGCGGCGCGGUAAGUCGGAUGUGAAAUCUCGGAGCUUAACUCCGAAACUGCAUUCGAUACUGCCGUGCUUGAGGACUGGAGAGGAGACUGGAAUUUACGGUGUAGCGGUGAAAUGCGUAGAUAUCGUAAGGAAGACCAGUGGCGAAGGCGGGUCUCUGGACAGUUCCUGACGCUGAGGCACGAAGGUCAGGGGGAGCAAAACGGGG